AUUCUUCAAACUGGUAUUUGUAAAGGCAGCUUGGUUUCCCAGAUGCAUCCAACUCAUCAGGUACUACAAAUUCUGUAACCAGGCCCCAACUUAGAGAUACUACAACUAUGCGUCAUGUAAUCAUGUAGGUCCUCCAGUGAUACUCAUCUUGCUCAUUUGGCCAUGGAUAAAGGAGAAAAGAGAGAGAAGUUCCCUUUCAGCACCCUAACACAUCUUUUAAUACAGCCUCUAAGCCUUUGAGUCCUCCAGGAGCCAGCAGCCAAGUCCAAACUAAAAGCAUCACAUGUUGUUUUGGAGAAAGAAGCCAGGGUGUCCACAGUAAUAUAAAUACAGAGACAGAUAGGACGAGCAGGCCCUAUGGAGAGAGGCCAAGCCUGAGAAAGUCAAAGGGCUUUGAGCUCUGAAUCUAUGCUCUGUCAAAGAAAAAAAAAAAAGUAGAAGAUAAAAGAGAAAGAAUAAACAAACUUCUUCAUUUUUACUUUUCACAAAAAAAAUCUCUUCUGGAAGCAGCAAAUAAAAUCUUCCCAACUCACUGGGUGCUGAGUAGAGUGUUAAGACACUAGCCCUUGAAGGAAGAAUGAAUAAGCAAUUCAAAGUGGGCUUUUCUGCCCUAGGCUAAAUCUGAAAUCAUCCAUUUUGCCAGCAGUAUUCUGUCUGCCAACCUACCUGCAAAGAAAGGGGCCAUUUAAAACUUCACAUCCACCCGAGAUGGCUGUUGUACAAAACACACACUCACAGGCUCCCCUCAAAGCCUAGUAAGGAAGAAGGAAGAAGGAAAAAGCAAAGGAAAUAUCUGGCAGCUCCUAGACUUUAGGAAUUCCACAAACAAAGCCAUUGCCAACAUCUAUUUGACAGGAUGUAUAGAGAGUUCAUAAAGUAAGUGUUUAUAGAAAUUCCAAAAUGUUUAAAACUAUCUCUUGAUUUUUGAAGGUCACUGUAAUCUAGUCUAUUGGAGAAUGCUAUUGUAGAGUCUUUGGCUAUUGUUACUUAUACCUGCAUAUAUGAAAUCACCACUCCUAAAAACCAUGAAUUAGAAGGCUGAUUUGUUUAAAGCAAUACUGUUGUCCACGAUGGAAGAAGGAUGCUAACUCACAGAGAGAAUGAUGCUGCCUGUGGAACAGAGUCGGAGCUGGCUUUUAUGGAACCUAUUGUCACUUUGAUUAUACACUGUCUAGGACAGGACUGAGGCCCACAUAACACCAAGCAUACCACAAAUACAAAAGUGGCAUACAGGGAAAAAGAGGUCAAAUUAAACAUCAAGGUAGCUAAAAGGAAAAUUGUGUCCGCUGCUCUAAUAUCACAACGCCAAGGAGAACUGCAGACAUUUGUCCUCGAGUUUCUCAGGUU
rnacentral:lncRNA from 1 species